rnacentral:lncRNA from 1 species
ACAAAAGAGGUGAAGACACAGGGGCAUUUGUAGUCUGAGCAGGUUUUCAUGAAGCAGUUCAUGUGCCAGGAUUCUCCUGUCCGUGCUCUGGGAUGCGCUGUGCAGGCCACUGCAGGAAAUUGAGGCGCAGUGUCCUUGCCCUGUGGCAGUCACGGUAUACCUCCAACUUGUGUGCAGUUUAAUGUGUUUCCAGGUGCUUGGAUACAACAUCUUUAUUACAUCUUCUUUGCCAGUUUAUUUAUUUUCACACUGCUCUCACAGAGACUUGGAAAAUACAGUUAAUUUUAUAGAUUAAAUAAAUGGAAUAGGAUGAAGACGAUAAGCCAUACUCAUUCUUUGUCUAUCAAACUACUGCUUUUCCAGUAAGUCUCAAUUUGUUCUACGUUUUCUUAUAUUUAUACUUCUGCUGCUAAGGAUAUUAAAACCGGGAGGGAAAAAAUGCAAAAAAAAAAAAUUGGGGCAUAUGAAGCUACAGGUUUGUAUGAAAAUAUGAAAAUAUUAAUCAUCAAGCUGUGUAGAAAGGUAGUAUGUUACCUUUUUAUCUAUGAUAAAUGUAGUUGUAUGUUAUCCGUGUUCCAUAUGUUGUUUAGAUGGUCAGCAUCUUCUAAAAAGCAGAUUUGGGUGCCGAUUUAUUAUACAUUUCACCUAGUGGGAUGACUUAGUACUGUAAACUGACUUGUGCUCUGAAGAAGAAAUUACUGUCCUAACUUUUCCACAUCAGUGUUUCUUCGUGUCUCCUUGAAAAGUGAAAGUUAGUCGCUCUGUCUUGUCUGACUGUGACCCCAUGGACUGUAGCCCACCAAGCUCCUCUGUCCAUAGAAUUCUCCANNNNNNNNNNNNNNNNNNNNNNNNNNNNNNCUUCUCCAGGGGAUCUUCCCAAUCCAGGGAUGGAACCCAGGUCUCCUGCAUCACAGGCAGAUUACCAUCAGAGCCCCGUGGGAAGCCCCUCUUCAGGUUGUUUUUAAUCACAACAAAGUUUAAGAACUAGACCUUCUUUAGGAUGUAAAUUUUUGUACAAGUUGUAGUAUUAGAAAUGAAUAUAAUUCAUGCUGGCUACAAUUUGGUGUUUUGUUACUGAUAACGAUCAAAAAAUUUUUUUUAUGAAACCANNNNNNNNNNNNNNNNNNNNNNNNNNNNNNNNNNNNNGAGAUCCUCCUUAUAUAAAGCCCAUGUAUUUGUUGGUUGUAUCAAUAUUAUCUUUAAUCAGGUAACUGCUUUUGUUUUAACUCCCCUCCAUUUCUCUGUUAGUAUAGGAAUUAAUGACUUUACUAAUGUAGCAUUUUACUGAAAUGGCUUCUGAAGUUUUUGAGAAUUACUUUAGGAAAAUAAACAAUAUUUUUAACAACAUCUUUGAGUGACUUGUUGAAAGGUAACUUC